UACGGAGGGUGCAAGCGUUAUCCGGAUUCACUGGGUUAAAGGGUGCGUAGGUGGGCUUGUAAGUCAGUGGUGAAAUCUCCGUGCUUAACAUGGAAACUGCCAUUGAUACUAUAGGUCCUGAAUUUUCCGGAGGUCAGCGGAAUAUGUCAUGUAGCGGUGAAAUGCUUAGAUAUGACAUAGAACACCGAUUGCGAAGGCAGCUGACUACAGGGAUAUCGACACUGAGGCACGAAAGCGUGGGGAUCAAACAGG
rnacentral:rRNA from 1 species